GAAAAAUUUCGGCAUGUUAUUAUCAAAUCUGUUCAAUUUUUCUGAAAUCGUGCUUAAUUAACAUUAGUUGUUCGGCGCUACGAUGUUGUUCAAAUACGUACAUUACAGAAUCACAUUAUGAUUAAACCAGAAACGGCUCGACUUGAACCAGCAGUCAGUGAUGAUAUGACUCAUUCCACCUUACAGUUACAGCAAUUACCGUAUUGAGAAUUUACCGUUCAAGGACUCCAUUUUGGCAUUGAAUUGGAAUUUGAAGAAAAACUGUUUCAAUAUUGGAUGUAUAUGCAAAUCACCCAGGAAAAGAUCAUGUAACAAAAGAAAUUAUAAAAGUAAAAAAAUGGAAGAAGAAAUGGCUGGAAAAAAUGAUGAUAGAGCAGCUUUUUCUUGUUAGCCACCUCGGAAGAUCAAGACAGCUGGAAAGGGCUAUUGAUAUUGUGGAAGUGUUUUCUUACAGAGGUUGCUUAUCAGACAAAGGCUAUUUAACUACAUCAGAAAGAUAAAAACAGUUGGAAAUGGCUAUUCAUAUUGUGGAAACUUUUCUCACAGAGCUUGAUAAUCAGGCAAAAUGCUGGAACACCCUUGAAAGAGUAUUUGGUGUAUGAUAACAACAAGAGAACCCAAGCAUCAAUUUAUUUUAUACUUCUGGGAAAGAAUGCAUUUGACCCAAUUUUUAAAUAUUUAUUUUUUGUUAUUAAUGUUAAAUUUUCUUCCAAAACACAAUUAGAUUUUAAUUCUCUUCAAAUAUGUAUGUAUAAUAUAGCAAGUAAACUGACAUAUAAAUCACUUAGAAUUUGGUCGGAAAUCAUAAAGUAUUUAAUAGGCAUUACUAGAAACCAAAUGUAGAUCAAAUACACCCAGAAUUACAAAAAACCUUGACCUACAUUAAGGUGACUUUCCCUUGCUUAUGAAAUGAAAUACGUUUUAAUAUCCUGCUUUUCUGUGUUCUUAGAGUGAUUCUACCCUACCCUUAUAUCAAAUAUUUCAACUGUCAAGGGUUCUUUAAAGGGUACCCAGGGGGGCCGAAUGGUUAACACGCACACAUUUGAUCAGAAGGUCUGUCAUUGAUUCAAAUAAUUCAAUUUUCAAGGGUUCUUCAAAGUGUACGCAGUUGGGUUGGUUUCAAUUCUGGGGGGUUGGGGUGGAUGGCCGAAUGGUUAGCACGUGCAUGCUGUAUCAUACGGCCUCCUGUCAUUGAGUCAACUGGCAUGGUUUUGAAUCCCCGGUUGUAGACAAGGAGUAGGGUCGCCUGUCCAAUCUUGUGGGUUUUCUCCGGGACUUCUGGUUUCCUCCCACUGCUAAAGACCCCUACGCGCUAGCGAAUUAUUGAAAUAAAAUUAAACCAUAUGUUAGUCCCAAAAUGAUCUAGUUUGUGUCGAGUAGACGUUAAACCCCAUUUCUCUCUGUCUCUCUCUCUUUUGAUUCUGGGCUUGUACCCAAUUAUCCCUUGCCAUAUCCAACACUGAAAAGUGGGAACUAUGCCGGAAAAUCCAGUUGAAAUUUCGCGGCCAACGCCUUAUGCUCACUGAACCACUGUGGCUUAUGACUUUGUAUUGUAUAUAAAUCUUUUGUACAUAUGAUAUUUUUUUAUUUCAAUCCUGUAAUCUUGAUACUUUGCUUCUUUUAUUUAUAAAAUAUUCAUUUUGUUUGGGUUUUUUUUAAUGAGGAAAAGGCUCUACAUCAUUUUAUUACUCCUGCAAAAUAGAGCAAUUUUCUUUUGUUAGUUUUCUGUGUAUGCUAGUUAUUUCUAGAUGCCUCACAAAUCACUUGUAGUGUGAUUUUGUAGCAUUUUUCAGUUUUUGAAAUUGUUUCAAUUUAGUGCAUAAUUAAUCUUAUUAGUGCUUAGUUUGGAUGUUAUUAAAUUUAGAUAUAUUUGAAUUAUAUAUUUUGGGGUAUGGGGUAGGGAUACUGUGUACAUAUCUUUAUAUUCUCAGUUCUUGUUUUGGGGUAAAGAACAAUUUAAAUAGCUAUUUUAUAUUUUGUGAUGGGUAAAGUGUGUGGGGCAAAAAAACAAUUUAAAUAGCUAUUUUAUAUUUUGUGAUGGGUAAAGUGGGGGGGGGGGGAGGGGUCAUUAUAUAUAACACAAUAUAAUUUGUAUUAGAAUUGAAGUCUCUGUUUUUCUGUUAACAUUUCAAAUAUCUAUUUAGUUUUGAUGUAUUAAUUUACUUUUUCCUAUGAUUUUAUGAAUAAAUAAUAAUCUUACAAAA